rnacentral:rRNA from 1 species
AUGAAAAUCCUACAGCGCGAGGCAGAACCGGCGAACGGGAAGAUCGAGCCGGAGCUCAAGACGAAGAGGGCCGACGCGGCGGCGUCGGCGGCCUUCACGGCGCUCGAGUUCGCCGCGGCCGAGCAGCUCCUCCACCUCCGCCGGAGCAGCGCCUCCUCGGGCACCCCUCGCGCCCGCCCGGUCGCCACCUCCGUGGCUCCCUCGGGCAGCUCCUUCUCCUCCUCCCUGCGCUCCGUGAACGCCCCGCCAGCGGCGCCGUCUCCUGGCGCCGUAAUUCUUGGUGGCUGCGUGGACAGGGAGGAAGAGGAGGAGGACCAGGUGGCCGGGAGCCAGCGAAGGGUGAAGCGCUACCGCUUGAUCACUGAGAUCUAUGCCGCGACGGAGGAAAUUGGGGGUCGCAGUGGCGGCAGCCGGAAGAACAAGAAGGAAUAG